rnacentral:rRNA from 1 species
UACGGAGGGUGCGAGCGUUGUCCGGAAUCACUGGGCGUAAAGGGCGCGUAGGCGGCCUGAUAAGUAGGGGGUGAAAUCUUGCGGCUUAACCGCAAGGCUGCCUUCUAAACUGUCAGGCUCGAGCACAGUAGAGGCAGGUGGAAUUCCCGGUGUAGCGGUGGAAUGCGUAGAGAUCGGGAAGAACAUCAGUGGCGAAGGCGGCCUGCUGGGCUGUUGCUGACGCUGAGGCGCGAAAGCGUGGGGAGCAAACAGG